GCGCACCAGUCGCGAAAACUCCGCAAUACGCGAAAGCGUGACGGGGCUACCCCGAGUGUCGUCCGCUGAGGACGACUUUUCCACGCUGUAAGGAGGCAGAGGAAUAAGGAGAGGGCGAGUCUGGUGUCAGCCGCCGCGGCAAUACCAGCUCUCCGAGUGGUAGGGAUGAUUAUUGGGCUUAAAGCGUCCGUAGCUGGCCUUUCAAGUCUCUUGUUAAAUCCAGCGAUUCAAUCGUUGGACUGCGGGAGAUACUGUUAGGCUAGGGGGCGGGAGAAGCCGACGGUAUUUCCGGGGUAGGGGUAAAAUCCUAUAAUCCCGGGAAGACCACCAGUGGCGAAGGCGUUCUGCGAGAACGGGCUCGACGGUGAGGGACGAAAGCCAGGGGCGCAAACGGGAGUAGAUACCCGGGUAGUCC
rnacentral:rRNA from 1 species